CAUCGACAAAUCAUUUCAACUAAUCACAAGCACAAACUAUGCCAAAUUCGAACCGCUCAAUCAGAUGAUGGCCAUUCAUAAUCAACACUGUGAAACUAUUGACUUUACAAUUACAAUUACAAGUCAAUUACAAUAUCUCGGCAGAAUCUAAUACAAUAUAUUCUAAAAAUCUAAAAAUUACAUUAUAAAAUCAUACACUACUUGACCAAUCUGUUUUUAUUUUUAUUCAUUAAAAUAAUGUAUUUAUUGCAGUGGCGAAGCCACGGGGGUGGUUUUGGACAUAACACCCCCCCGUCCCAAGAGACAAAAUUUUUAGAAGAAAUUUUUAUUUACGAAAAAAAUGUUCAGAACCGCCCCUCCCCCCUGGAUCAAUUUUGUGGCUACGCCACUGCUUUAUAGCAUUAAGAAAACAACAUUUAUACAUACUGUAAGUAGAGGCCUGAAUAAGAGAAACGCGGAUAGGUAUGUGCCGCCAAUCGAACCGUCAAAAAACAGCAGCCAAUCGAGCAGGAGACCUGUCAAGCAGCCAAAAUGUUGGCCCAAAUAUUGAAAACGGCCAAGUUCUAUUUUAUGCCAUUUUUAAAUAAACAAAAUUGAAUGUAUUUUACACUAGUUUGCAAUAAUAUGUGCAAGUAAUUUAUAGAUUAUGAAAUGAAAUUCCAUUGUUUAUUGGAUUCUGUAGCUAUGCACUGAAAAAAAUUACGUGGUAACAUGAACUAUUCACUCGCGUUCAAUUUUACUAUGACCCAUGUACCACAAUGUAGCAGUAAAACUAAAUACAACUCCAUUCAUAAUGACUGAAUCAUAGUGGAGAUUACUGCACGCGUACUAGAAUAUCCAUAGUAAAUCAAACUAUGCAAUUCUGUUCCCGCUAUCCCGCUGUGAUUUUAAAGAAGUUUGCCACUCCACGCCAUCUUCAAUAAACUAAAAAUGGUGCUGCAAUCAUAUUGAAUUGACCUCAAAGAUAGGAAUCGGUGGUUUGGAUAUAUUAUUACGAGGACGUAAGUGACGGCCAUUUUUUGUUGAAAAGUGUCCGUGGAUUCUGUUGCAGAUAAAAUAAGACCCGGCCGAAAAAGCGGUGAAUAAAUAAUAUUGAGUCAAAUAACCAUCCUGCUCAUCGACUGAAAACAUCUUUUCGUUAGCAAUCACUUUUUUUAUUGAGCCGUCGGAGAUGGAAUGCCACAAGGAAAAUGAAUGCUUGGCGAGGAGUUUCCAUGAAGAAGUUACAUCAACGUUAUCCACGAUUGUUUUAUCUUUUAUUUUUUAUACGUAAAUAUGUUUAAAUAAAGAUGAUUCAUUCUCUAUUUCUUCCGGUACACUAAUCAAAAAUCUGAAACAUAAAUAAAUGAUUGCGAUCUAUCGUGCAUAGUAGUAUGAAACCAUCAUCCAUGGUAAAUUUUACUUUGUUUAGUGCCAUGUUUUCUAGUACCCAUGACGUAAACAUAUUUCAUUCUACUACUUCUCAAUUUUGAAAACGACAUGGUAAAAUCAACUGCUGAGACAGUAGUUUCAAAAGAAUUUUGCGUUCUACUGAAAUCAAGUGGUAAAAUG